GUGACUGCGUACCUUUUGUAUAAUGGGUCAGCGACUUAUAUUCUGUAGCAAGGUUAACCGCAUAGGGGAGCCGGAGGGAAACCGAGUCUUAAUUGGGCGUUAAGUUGCAGGGUAUAGACCCGAAACCCGGUGAUCUAGCCAUGGGCAGGUUGAAGGUUGGGUAACACUAACUGGAGGACCGAACCGACUAAUGUUGAAAAA
rnacentral:rRNA from 2 species